rnacentral:rRNA from 1 species
CCUACGGGUGGCUGCAGUGAGGAAUAUUGGUCAAUGGGCGCAAGCCUGAACCAGCCAAGUCGCGUGAGGGAUGACGGUCCUAUGGAUUGUAAACCUCUUUUGUCGGGGAGCAAGACCCGCCACGUGUGGCGGGAAGGAGAGUACCCGAAGAAAAAGCAUCGGCUAACUCCGUGCCAGCAGCCGCGGUAAUACGGAGGAUGCGAGCGUUAUCCGGAUUUAUUGGGUUAAAGGGGUGCGUAGGAGGAAGGUUAAGUCAGCGGUAAAAUGUCGGUGCUCAACACCGGCCUGCCGUUGAAACUGGUCUUAUUGAGUGAGCGAGAGGUAUGCGGAAUGCGUGGUGUAGCGGUGAAAUGCAUAGAUAUCACGCAGAACUCCGAUUGCGAAGGCAGCAUACCGGCGCUCAACUGACGCUGAGGCACGAAAGCGUGGGGAUCGAACAGGAUUAGAUACCCUUGUAGUC